ACUCCAGUGGCCUAGUGGUUAGAGCAUCCGCCUCAGAAGUGGAAGGUCAUGGGUUUGAUACCUGGUCGAGUA